AUUGAACGCUGGCGGCAUGCUUUACACAUGCAAGUCGAACGGUAACAGGUUAAGCUGACGAGUGGCGAACGGGUGAGUAAUGCAUCGGAACGUGCCCGAUCGUGGGGGAUAACGUAGCGAAAGUUACGCUAAUACCGCAUACGAUCUGAGGAUGAAAGCGGGGGACCGUAAGGCCUCGCGCGAUCGGAGCGGCCGAUGUCAGAUUAGGGAGUUGGUGGGGUAAAGGCCCACCAAGCCGACGAUCUGUAGCUGGUCUGAGAGGACGACCAGCCACACUGGGACUGAGACACGGCCCAGACUCCUACGGGAGGCAGCAGUGGGGAAUUUUGGACAAUGGGCGCAAGCCUGAUCCAGCAAUGCCGCGUGCAGGAAGAAGGCCUUCGGGUUGUAAACUGCUUUUGUACGGAGCGAAAAGGCUCUCUCUAAUACAGGGGGCUCAUGACGGUACCGUAAGAAUAAGCACCGGCUAAUUACGUGCCAGCAGCCGCAGUAA
rnacentral:rRNA from 1 species